UCGUGGAGUGAUUUGUCUGCUUAAUUGCGAUAACGAACGAGACCUUACCCUGCUAAAUAGCCUGGCUAGCUUUGGCUGGUCUCUGGCUUCUUAGAGGGACUAUCGGCUCAAGCCGAUGGAAGUUUGAGGCAAUAACA
rnacentral:rRNA from 1 species